CGAGUGCAGAGCCAGGGCCCAGCACGAAGGCCUUGGGCUCCAGUCCGUGUGCCCCACAUCCCUACAUGAGUGAGGGUGGAGGGAUGGUGCCUCUGCCACGGCCACGGUGCCGCCGUCCACGUCAGCUCACUCUCAGCACAGGUGCUGUGUGACGGCCUCGGGCCACACCGCUUGUUCUGAGGCCCCUAGCAGGUCGGGCUUGUGCUGGCUGCACAUUGGCUGGUGAGCUUGGCGGGUCUGUGGGCACGGAGAGACCAGAACGUGCGUAACAGGCCCGAUGAGGGUGCCAGGCUGUGGCGACCCCCGAGCUUCAGAGGAGAGGGGCACCAGCCGGGGGCCCUGCACAGGCAGCCUCAGAGAGAGGAAAGCUCACGAUCUGGGAGAACUCCAGGCCUGGCCCAGUGAAGACGUCCUUAUCUUCAGCAGACAUUGCCCAGUGCAAGGGGAGGGAUUUUUAGGGCGGCAAGCUCAGGUGGACAGGCAGUUUUAUUCUGUUUCCCAUGUCAAGUCCAGCCCCAGACUGACUUUCUGAGUCUCCUAUGGACCAUCUGUCUUCUGUGUGGCUGCUGAGGAAUCACACUGGGGUGGCCGUGCCGGUGGCUGAAUGAGAACAGGACCCCCAUGCUGCACAGCCCUGCUUAACGCGGGGGUGGCCCCAGAAGCGGGUGGGCGAGGCUGGGCAGCAGGGAUUGGCUGAAAUCAUAUGCAGAGCCCAAGAGGCAGGGGAAAGGCGGCAAUUUCAGGGUCCCUUUGUUCGCCAGGUACCUGGGGCCCAGCCCGGGCGGCAGGAGGGACUCAGCCCCUCGCCCAGGCAGGAAGGGUCCCAAGCAGAGGCCCCUCCCUCAGGCACUCCCCAGCCCACACCUGCAGCACUGGGACCAAGACUAAUAAAACACCAGCCUCACGGAAGACAGCUUUAUCUUGUUGAUCGGAAGUCUGCCAGCCCAAUUUAUGAUGGAACAUAAGAUCUCUAAAUCUGAAUUUACGCUCUGUAGCGUAACGAGAGGUCAAUAAGAUUAAACGGGGGCUCAGGAGAGGACCAGCGUCAGGCUCACUGCGAGGUGCUGCACAGAAAACCCACAGCCAGAGCCCCUGGGCCCAGCCCAGGCAAGACCAGAAAAGGAGGGGGCAGGUGGGAGACCAGCCUGGGGCUCCCGGGAAGCCCACGGGAUGGAGGCGGGAGAGCCAGGAGGCCUGGGGCAACCCUGGGACGGUUCCUGGAUCGAGGAGAGCAGGGGGGUGAUGAGGGUUCCCUCAGGGCUGGGGAGCCUUCUCCUGGUCUCAGACCCACCCCCCUUCAGCUCCCAAGCCCUGGGUGCCCCUGGCUCUGAGGACAGUUGGGAAUCUUCCCUGAGGCAGGUUCAAGGACAGAGCUCUGACCCUGGCCCAGGGCUGCUUUGGGUGCCUAUGAACUCGGCUUCUGGCUCAGAGCAGUUCCCUGCACCCCUUCCUGAGCCCUCUGUCCUCUGGAACCCGUGGGCAGGGUGAGGGACGGGUGUUCCUUCUGGGUGGGGGCCUGGGCGCCCAGCCAGCACGACGCUGGCUUGCUGAGCUUAGGGCAGACCCCGACUUCAGAAUUUAUACAAAUAAAUGCAAUGAAAAGUGCUGGCAACCUGAUCUGAUUACAGAGUCAUUCAUUCUCUGGUCGUUAAUAAUUUGUGCA
rnacentral:lncRNA from 1 species